rnacentral:rRNA from 1 species
AACCUUCCCCCAAGUUCGGGAUAACCUUGCCAACGCGGGGCUAAUACCGGAUGUGGUGCGAGCAAUGCAUGUUGUUCGCUCUAAAGGUGACCUCUUCUUGAAAGUUGUCGUUUGGGGAUGGUCUUGCGGACCAUUAGCUUGUUGGCGGGGUAACGGCCCACCAAGGCAACGAUGGUUACCCGGCCUGAGAGGGCGAUCGGCCACAUUGGGACUGAGAUACGGCCCAGACUCCUACGGGAGGCAGCAGUAGGGAAUUUUGCGCAAUGGACGAAAGUCUGACGCAGCAACGCCGCGUGAGGGAUGACGGCUUUCGGGUUGUAAACCUCUGUUGAGCGGGAAGAAACGUCAGGUGGCUAAUAUCCACUUGGGCUGACGGUACCGCUCGAGGAAGCCCCGGCCAAAUACGUGCCAGCAGCCGCGGUAACACGUAUGGGGCAAGCGUUGUUCGGAAUCACUGGGCGUAAAGGGAGCGUAGGCGGAGUGGCAAGUCAGAAGUGUAAUCCUCGAGCUCAACUCGAGGCUUGCUUUUGAAACUGCUUCUCUUGAGUUAUGUAUAGGGAGACGGAAUUCCAGGUGUAGCGGUGGAAUGCGUAGAUAUCUGGAAGAACACCCGUAGCGAAGGCGGUCUCCUGGCCAUAUACUGACGCUGAGGCUCGAAAGCGUGGGGAGCAAACAGGAUUAGAUACCCUGGUAGUCUACGCCGUAAACGAUGGACACUAGAUGUUGGGGGCUUUAUGCCUUCGUUGUCGUAGCUUACGCGAUAAGUGUUCCGCCUUGGGAGUACGCUCGCAAGGGUGAAACUCUAAGGAAUUGACGGGGGGCCCGCACACGCGGUGGAGCAUGCGCUUUAAUUCGAUGCCACGCGAAGAACCUUACCUGGGCUUGACAUUGGAGUGAAACUUCCCAGAGAUGGGGAGCCUUCCUUCGGGAACACUCUACACAGGUGCUGCAUGGCUGUCGUCAGCUCGUGUCGUGAGAUGUUGGGUUAAGUCCCGCAACGAGCGCAACCCUCGCCCUUAGUUGCCAUCAGGUAAUGCUGGGAACUCUAGUGAGACUGCCUGGUCCAACCAGGAGGAAGGUGGGGAUGACGUCAAAUCCU